UGACUUACCUGGCAAGGGAAAUACAGUGAUCCCAAAGGUGGUUUUCCCAGAGUGAGUCUCAACCAUUAUACUUAGGAUGUGCUGACCCCCAUUAUCUUCCAAAUAUAAUACAAUCCAAAGA
rnacentral:snRNA from 1 species